GUGGCCGGGGGGCUCUCUUGGUCCCGACACCCGGCGGGCUGCCCAACCGUCACCCUGCGCUUUUCGCUCUGUCGCCCAGGCUGGAGUGCAGUGGCACAAUCUCGGUUCACUGCAACCUCUGCCUCCCGGGUUCAAGCAGUUCUCUUGCCUCAGCCUCCCAAGUAACUGGUACUACAGUUUGUCCUCGGCUGUUACAGAGAAUUGAUACAAAAAAUGAUCAUGUGAAGAAUUUGCAUCUUCUGCAGAACUACCGGUAUCAGUCAGCAGUAGGAGAUUGUAUAAAUUCAGCCUGAGAUUCCAGAAUAUUCUGUGUAUUGACCACCACAGCAAGAAGAAAAAGUCCAUGUAGGACUGAAAUCUGUGGUACUUCUGCGGUGGCACUUCUUACACAAGUGAGAAGCAGCGACACCGUGACACCUGCACGCCGGAGCCCUGCGUUAGUGAGAAGCAGCGACACCGUGACACCUGCACGCCGGAGCCCUGCGUUAGUGAGAAGCAGCGACACCGUGACACCUGCACGCCGGAGCCCUGCGUUAGGCUGGGUAAGGGCGGGGACCUGGGCAUCACACAGUCUUAGAUGUGGGCCUGCCUCCAACAGCUCCCUCCUGGGUGUGAUGCUGAAGGGGGUCCUUGACACCUCUGAAGUCUCAGUCUCCUCAAGGUCACACCCAGCUUAUAGGAUUGUGCU
rnacentral:lncRNA from 1 species